UACGGAGGGUACAAGCGUUGUCCGGAUUUAUUGGGUUUAAAGGGUGCGUAGGUGGCCCGUUAAGUCCGGGGUGAAAGCCCACUGCUCAACAGUGGAACUGCCCUGGAUACUGGCGGGCUUGAGUCCAGACGAGGUUGGCGGAAUGGAUGGUGUAGCGGUGAAAUGCAUAGAUACCAUCCAGAACCCCCGAUUGCGUAGGCAGCUGACUAGGCUGGUACUGACACUGAGGCACGAAAGCGUGGGGAGCGAACAGG
rnacentral:rRNA from 1 species